AUUGAACGCUGGCGGCAGGCCUAACACAUGCAAGUCGAACGAGUGGCGGACGGGUGAGUAAUGUCUGGGACACUGCCCGUUGGAGGGGGAUAACUAUUGGAAACGGUAGCUAAUACCGCAAACCAUCGGAUGUGCCCAGAUGGGAUUGGCUAGUAGGUGGGGUAACGGUGCACCUAGGCGACGAUCCCUAGCGGGUCUGAGAGGAUGACCAGCCACACUGGAACGGAGACACGGUCCAGACUCCUACGGGAGGCAGUAGUGGGGAAUAUUGCACAAUGGGGGCAAGCCUGAUGCAGCCAUGCCGCGUGGAUGAAGAAGGCCUUCGGGUGGUAAAGUACUUUCAGCGAGGAGGCGUUACUCGCAGAGGAAGCACCGGCUAACUCCGUGCCAGCAGCCGCGGUAAUAC
rnacentral:rRNA from 1 species